ensembl:lncRNA
CUGGGGAAAUUGCAACACGCUUCUUUAAAUGGCAGAGAGAAGGAGAAAACUUAGAUCUUCUGAUACCAAAUCACUGAACCUUGGAAGGUCAGAAAUCUUUCAAGCCCUGCAGGACCAUAAAAUGCCCGUGUCCAACAGAAGCACUGGGGCAUGAGUGGGGAAGGAAUAGAAACAGAGUCAGAAAGGGGAUAAGAGAAGAAUAAAAGGGAAAGUAGUGAAGGCAGGGAGGCAAAUUGCUUAGUGUGAAUAUGCACACGUUCAUUUAGUUUUCAAAUCCUUGUUGAGCAUGAUAAAGUUCCCAGCAUCAAUCCUCACGUGUUGGUUUCCAUUAGGAUCUGCCUGGGGGACUAUCUGCUGAAUCAGUGGCUCUGAGCUGAACCAGGAAAUUCACUAUGAUUAGGAGAGUCGCAGUGUUAGUCAGGGUCUCUCCGAAAAAAAGUUAUACCCAAGAGACAGGAUCUUCUGAUCCGAAAUUUUCUUCACUUCUGAAAUUCUCUGGUUUGUGCUCAUCAUUGGCAGCUAUUUGUUCAUCAAGAGUUGUGUAGUUGGCUUCUUCUGGAAAAAGGAAUCUGCGUCAUAUCUAAGUCAGAUUUCAUUCUGGUGCUCUCAGAGCAGUUAGCCCAGGAAAGGGGCCGGCUUCUGUGGCUACUGCUGCAGAGGCAGAUGCAGUUUGUGUCCCACAGAUAUUAACUUCGAUAAGCACUUAAUGAGGGCCUUCUCUGCGCGAGAAUGGGGAGGAACAAAAUGCAGCUCCUGCCCUCCUGGGGCUUUAGUUGUACCUUAGUAAGAGGAAUUUUCAUCUGCCUGGCUCCUUUCCUCAAAGAACAAAGAAGACUUUGCUUCAUUAAAGUGUCUGAGAAAGAAGAAAACGCACAGGGAACCGUUUACCCUUCAGAACCGAGGAAGAACGGCUUAGGCUACCCGCGAUCGCGAACCUUUGCCAAGAUGGUGGCCGCGGGGCCGGGCUGGCGUCACUGUACCCUACCAAGAUGGCUGCGGGCAGCUUCCGGGACGCGCUUCCCCAAUCGUCUUCAAGAUGUCAGAGCAGAGGCGGCUGCCGUCAGUCCAAGCGCGGCGGGAGGACAGAGAGUGGCUGUGGCCGAGCGCCCGAGCAGGAUUAGGUGGAGCUGCGGCAGCCCCCGCCCUUGUCAGGAGCUGGCAAGCGAUGUCACCUGUAGGGGCGCAAAAGUUACCUCCCCAAACCCUAAAGCCACACAGCACAACCUUUCCCCGAGUCACAAAAAUAAUCUGUGCCGCACAAGAUAGGAAGCUCUGUCCAGGCAUCGCCCAAGCCUUCCCGACGCGGCGAGCUAGGGAAGGGAGCUGGGGCGGGGGCUUCCCUCGCCCCACUGCCCUCUCCUCUCUCAGGACGGGCCACGUGUUUCCUUCCCCUCGGACUGAGGGGGAAGCUCGUAACAGGAACAGCUGUAGGGAGUUGAACGCUGGCAUUUUAAAGCUGCCCGUAUUUUGUUUUUAUUUGUAGGGGCUGGGGUCCCGUGAACGUGAUAGGGUGAGCAACGCAGAGAGUCGAGUGCAGCAAAUGUCAAGAUUCGGGGGGUGGGGCCUGCACCGGGAACUUGGACUCGGGCCCUGGCCGGGGUGGAAGGAGAGGUCAGGAGUUUGGGGAGGGGGGGCAUACUUCGCCAGCAACUUACUAUUUCGCCUGCAACUCGCUUUUAGGACUGCCGCCCCCUGCUUUCCUUAAUCACAAUAAUAAAAGUGCAAAGAAAUCCA